CCCCGGCAGGGCCCUCCCGCGCUCGCGGCUGGCUGAAGUGCCUCACGGGGGCUGCUGAGGAGAUUCCCGCUGGGCCGGUUUACCUCACGGCGGUGCCAAGCUGAGGAGUGGGUUGCUCCCAGACGCUCUCCGGCUCCGUCAGCCCGAGAGGGUCACUACUGCUCUUUGAAUUAAACUUCUCCAAGCAGAAUGCCCUCGGGGGGGUUGGAGUUGCCUCGGCAACGUGGUGUAAACUCAACAGCCUCGUGUAGCAGGAGCUGCCUGGAGGAUUUGCCUGCGGGAGCGCCUGCCUCGGUAAUAAGUACUACGUGCUCCGCAGUCAGAAAAACAUGCCGAAAAUAAAAUCAAAGUAUAUGUAAUUACUGUUUGAAUUCCUUGCUGUCCAGCAAAGGAAGACAGCAGUGAGCUAAAAAUGCUCUUUAACUUAUCUUUGGGUUGCUGUGCCUCUUUCACACUUCGCUACUGAAGCACCAGGGUUAAAUACAACAAUGCUAAAAACAUGGAACAAGAGAUCUGAGGUUCACUCCAGUGAAAGACCUGUACUACUUCAGCAUGAGUAACUAUUGUAAGUAUCCUAGCAAUAAGAAAGAAGAAAUUCAAAGCAAUUUAAAAUGCAGGGAAGCUGAUGUCGCUACCAAUACUGAAAUGAAUGACCAGAUGAAGUACCAGUUUUCAGUGGCUUGUAAGAAUGUAGAUCUUAUGACCCAAGCCAGUUUCUAUGAUGAUAGUCAUCCCUACUUGAGCUCAAGUAAUGCUCUGAUAAACUGCGGAAUAUUUACAGCUCAGACAACACUUACAAUGUCAAGCAACAGAGAUGCCUUGAGAGCUGCCAAUAAGGAAAGAAGAGCAGAUAAUUGCUGUAGAACUGGUCUAGAAGAAGGAAACGCUACAGAGAUGAUACUGGAUUAUAGACCACAUGAAGAUGCUGAGAGUGCAAACUUUGUAUUUGACAAUCAUUAUUUAGAUUCUUCCUGUAAAAAUGAAGUGAUAGAGGCCUACCAUGCCUUAUAAGAUAAUUCUGUAGCUGCAGUAAUUCCCAGAGUAGAAGUGCAUGAUCCUUCUGGAAAACAGUAAAUAAUGUUUGUCUCUGAAUUUGAAAUGGAAAAAGAAGCAAUGUCAGAAGCAACUUCAGAAGACCACAGUGAGCUUGUACCUGUUGUUCAUGUUACAUUCUCUGAUCAAGAACUGGCUAGGGAACCACACAUUGCUAAACA